UCAAGUAAUUAAGUGCAUGUGGUGGAUGCCUUGGCAGUCAGAGGCGAUGAAAGACGUGAUAGCCUGCGAAAAGCUCCGGGGAGGCGGCAAAUAUCCUUUGAUCCGGAGAUGUCUGAAUGGGGGAACCCACCUACUUUAAGGUAGGUAUUGCAACAUGAAUACAUAGUGUUGCAAGGCGAACGAGGGGAAGUGAAACAUCUCAGUACCCUUAGGAAAAGAAAUCAAUUGAGAUUCCCUCAGUAGCGGCGAGCGAACGGGGAUCAGCCCAUUAAGUUAUGUGUGUUUUAGUGGAACGCUCUGGGAAGUGCGAACGUAGAGGGUGAUAUUCCCGUACACGAAAGGGCACACAUAAUGAUGACGAGUAGGGCGAGGCACGUGAAACCUUGUCUGAAUAUGGGGGGACCAUCCUCCAAGGCUAAAUACUCCUGACUGACCGAUAGUGAACCAGUACCGUGAGGGAAAGGCGAAAAGAACCCCUGUGAGGGGAGUGAAAUAGAUCCUGAAACCGCAUGCAUACAAGCAGUGGGAGCACCUUUGUGGUGUGACUGCGUACCUUUUGUAUAAUGGGUCAGCGACUUAUAUUCAGUAGCGAGGUUAACCGUAUAGGGGAGCCGUAGAGAAAUCGAGUCUUAAUAGGGCGUUUAGUUGCUGGGUAUAGACCCGAAACCAGGCGAUCUAUCCAUGAGCAGGUUGAAGGUUGGGUAACACUAACUGGAGGACCGAACCCACUGUCGUUGAAAAGCCAGGGGAUGACUUGUGGAUAGGGGUGAAAGGCUAAUCAAGCCUGGUGAUAGCUGGUUCUCCCCGAAAGCUAUUUAGGUAGCGCCUCGGACGAAUACCAUAGGGGGUAGAGCACUGUUUCGGCUAGGGGGUCAUCCCGACUUACCAAACCGAUGCAAACUCCGAAUACCUAUGAGUACUAUCCGGGAGACAGACUGCGGGUGCUAACGUCCGUAGUCAAGAGGAAAACAAUCCAGACCGCCAGCUAAGGCCCCAAAAUCAUAGUUAAGUGGGAAACGAUGUGGGAAGGCAUAGACAGCUAGGAGGUUGGCUUAGAAGCAGCCACCCUUUAAAGAAAGCGUAAUAGCUCACUAGUCGAGUCGGCCUGCGCGGAAGAUGUAACGGGGCUAAAACUAUGUGCCGAAGCUGCGGAUGUAUACUUUGUAUACGUGGUAGGGGAGCGUUCUGUAAGCCGAUGAAGGUGUGUUGAGAAGCAUGCUGGAGGUAUCAGAAGUGCGAAUGCUGACGUGAGUAACGACAAAACGGGUGAAAAACCCGUUCGCCGAAAGACCAAGGGUUCCAGUCCAACGUUAAUCGGGGCUGGGUGAGUCGACCCCUAAGGCGAGGCCGAAAGGCGUAGUCGAUGGGAAAAUGGUUAAUAUUCCAUUACUUCUGUGUAAUGCGAUGAGAGGACGGAGAAGGCUAAAUCAGCCUGGCGUUGGUUGUCCAGGUGAAAGGAUGUAGGCAUGUAUCUUAGGCAAAUCCGGGGUACUCUAUGCUGAGAUCUGAUAGCAAGCUGUACUUGUACAGCGAAGUGGUUGAUGCCAUGCUUCCAGGAAAAGUCUCUAAGCUUCAGUUACACAGGAAUCGUACCCGAAACCGACACAGGUGGUCAGGUCGAGUAGACCAAGGCGCUUGAGAGAACUCUGCUGAAGGAACUAGGCAAAAUGGUACCGUAACUUCGGGAGAAGGUACGCUGUUGUUGGUGAUGGAACUCGCUUCCUGAGCUGACGACAGCCGCAGAAACCAGGCCGCUGCAACUGUUUAUUAAAAACAUAGCACUCUGCAAACACGAAAGUGGACGUAUAGGGUGUGAUGCCUGCCCGGUGCUGGAAGGUUAAUUGAUGGGGUUAGCGUAAGCGAAGCUCUUGAUCGAAGCCCCAGUAAACGGCGGCCGUAACUAUAACGGUCCUAAGGUAGCGAAAUUCCUUGUCGGGUAAGUUCCGACCUGCACGAAUGGCAUAAUGAUGGCGGCGCUGUCUCCAGCAGAGGCUCAGUGAAAUCGAAAUCGCUGUGAAGAUGCAGUGUACCCGCGGCUAGACGGAAAGACCCCGUGAACCUUUACUGCAGCUUGACACUGAACUUUGACCUUACUUGUGUAGGAUAGGUGGGAGGCUUUGAAGCUGGAACGCUAGUUCCAGUGGAGCCGUCCUUGAAAUACCACCCUGGUAAUGUUGAGGUUCUAACUCUGUCCCGUGAUCCGGGACGAGGACCGUGUCUGGUGGGUAGUUUGACUGGGGCGGUCUCCUCCUAAAGAGUAACGGAGGAGUACGAAGGUGCGCUCAGCGUGGUCGGAAAUCACGCGUAGAGUAUAAAGGCAAAAGCGCGCUUAACUGCGAGACCCACAAGUCGAGCAGGUACGAAAGUAGGUCUUAGUGAUCCGGUGGUUCUGUAUGGAAGGGCCAUCGCUCAACGGAUAAAAGGUACUCUGGGGAUAACAGGCUGAUACCGCCCAAGAGUUCAUAUCGACGGCGGUGUUUGGCACCUCGAUGUCGGCUCAUCUCAUCCUGGGGCUGAAGCAGGUCCCAAGGGUAUGGCUGUUCGCCAUUUAAAGAGGUACGCGAGCUGGGUUUAGAACGUCGUGAGACAGUUCGGUCCCUAUCUACCGUGGGCGCUGGAAAUUUGAGAGGAUCUGCUCCUAGUACGAGAGGACCAGAGUGGACGAACCUCUGGUGUACCGGUUGUGACGCCAGUCGCAUCGCCGGGUAGCUAUGUUCGGAAGGGAUAACCGCUGAAAGCAUCUAAGCGGGAAGCCUACCUCAAGAUAAGAUUUCCCUAGGACUUUAUGUCCUCUAAAGAGCCGUUCGAGACUAGGACGUUGAUAGGUUGGAUGUGGAAGCAUAGUGAUAUGUGAAGCUGACCAAUACUAAUUGCUCGUGAGGCUUGACUA
rnacentral:rRNA from 1 species